UUAAAACUUUUAGUUUAAUUUUAGAAUGUUUCAUUUACAAUGAAGUGGUUAAAAGUUUU
rnacentral:tRNA from 1 species